rnacentral:tRNA from 1 species
AUAGCUCAGUGGUAGAGUGCUUAGCUAGCAUUUGGGAGGCCUGGGUUCAAUCCCCAGU